UUGAAUGGAGUAAGUUGGGUUCUACCAGUAUACCUGGCUAUUUGUUUAAGAGAAGUAACUUCGGAAUGGACUGCAUUAUGGAGAAGGAGACUACCCGACUUGUCAUACAGGAAUUUUGGGAGGACCUGAACUAACCCAAAUUGUCGAGCGACGAGGUUGGGUUGAUAGGUUAUCAAAGUAACCUGAACCUUUGAAGGGUUGAGCCGAAGGGUUAGAAUCCUAGGGGUCAAAAAGGCUUCCCGAAUCAGC
rnacentral:lncRNA from 1 species